AUGCUCCAGGCCUCUCUCCUUCUCACCAUCCUCACUUAUUGCUCAGGUUCCUUCGCCCAGUUUGUGGUGACGCAGCCUCCAUCGGUGUCAGCGUCUCUGGGCCAAAAUGUCCAAAUCAUUUGCUCGGGGACCCACAUUCCAAUGGGCCGUCAGCAGUGGUACCAGCAGGAACCUGGCAAGGACCCUGUCCUCAUUAUAUACAGUGGAAAUAUCAGGCCAACGGGGAUCUCCGACAGGUACUCUGGCUCCGUGUCUGGCAACACAGCCACAUUAACCAUCGCCAGGGCCCAAGCACAGGAUGAGGGACAUUAUCACUGCCUGUUGUGGGACAGUGGGGCCGACCAUGUUGUCCUCCUUUUUGGUUUCCAAAAUAUGGUCACCCUACUCUCCUUCACCAUUGAAACCCACUUGCACACCUGCCUCUUGUUCUGGGCCAGACAACAGUGGUGGACAGAAGGAUGA